CCCCUAGAUGUUCUGGGCCGCACGCGCGCUACACUGACUACUUCAACGAGUUGUUUCCUUGAUCGAAAGGUCUGGGUAAUCUUUGAAAGGUAGUCGUGAUGGGGAUAGAUCCUUGCAAUUUUUGAUCUUCAACGAGGAAUUCCUAGUAAACGCAAGUCAUCAGCUUGCAUUGAUUACGUCCCUGCCCUUUGUACACACCGCCCGUCGCACCUACCGAUUGAAUGGUCCGGUGAAAUCUCGGGACGGCGGCUUGGUCGCUUGCGUCCGACUGCUGAAACUUGAUUAAACCAUAUCAUUUAGAGGAAGGUGAAGUCGUAACA
rnacentral:rRNA from 1 species